ACGAAAAAUGAAUACCAAGUCUCAAGAGUGAACACGUAAUUCAUUACGAAGUUUAAUUCAUUGAGCAUCAAACUUUUAAAUUGAAGAGUUUGAUCAUGGCUCAGAUUGAACGCUGGCGGCAGGCCUAACACAUGCAAGUCGAACGGUAACAGGAAGCAGCUUGCUGCUUUGCUGACGAGUGGCGGACGGGUGAGUAAUGUCUGGGAAACUGCCUGAUGGAGGGGGAUAACUACUGGAAACGGUGGCUAAUACCGCAUAACGUCGCAAGACCAAAGAGGGGGACCUUCGGGCCUCUUGCCAUCAGAUGUGCCCAGAUGGGAUUAGCUUGUUGGUGAGGUAACGGCUCACCAAGGCGACGAUCCCUAGCUGGUCUGAGAGGAUGACCAGCCACACUGGAACUGAGACACGGUCCAGACUCCUACGGGAGGCAGCAGUGGGGAAUAUUGCACAAUGGGCGCAAGCCUGAUGCAGCCAUGCCGCGUGUAUGAAGAAGGCCUUCGGGUUGUAAAGUACUUUCAGCGGGGAGGAAGGUGUUGUGGUUAAUAACCGCAGCAAUUGACGUUACCCGCAGAAGAAGCACCGGCUAACUCCGUGCCAGCAGCCGCGGUAAUACGGAGGGUGCAAGCGUUAAUCGGAAUUACUGGGCGUAAAGCGCACGCAGGCGGUCUGUCAAGUCGGAUGUGAAAUCCCCGGGCUCAACCUGGGAACUGCAUUCGAAACUGGCANNNNNNNNNNNNNNNNNNNNGAAUUCCAGGUGUAGCGGUGAAAUGCGUAGAGAUCUGGAGGAAUACCGGUGGCGAAGGCGGCCCCCUGGACAAAGACUGACGCUCAGGUGCGAAAGCGUGGGGAGCAAACAGGAUUAGAUACCCUGGUAGUCCACGCCGUAAACGAUGUCUACUUGGAGGUUGUGCCCUUGAGGCGUGGCUUCCGGAGCUAACGCGUUAAGUAGACCGCCUGGGGAGUACGGCCGCAAGGUUAAAACUCAAAUGAAUUGACGGGGGCCCGCACAAGCGGUGGAGCAUGUGGUUUAAUUCGAUGCAACGCGAAGAACCUUACCUGGUCUUGACAUCCACGGAAGUUUUCAGAGAUGAGAAUGUGCCUUCGGGAACCGUGAGACAGGUGCUGCAUGGCUGUCGUCAGCUCGUGUUGUGAAAUGUUGGGUUAAGUCCCGCAACGAGCGCAACCCUUAUCCUUUGUUGCCAGCGGUCCGGCCGGGAACUCAAAGGAGACUGCCAGUGAUAAACUGGAGGAAGGUGGGGAUGACGUCAAGUCAUCAUGGCCCUUACGACCAGGGCUACACACGUGCUACAAUGGCGCAUACAAAGAGAAGCGACCUCGCGAGAGCAAGCGGACCUCAUAAAGUGCGUCGUAGUCCGGAUUGGAGUCUGCAACUCGACUCCAUGAAGUCGGAAUCGCUAGUAAUCGUGGAUCAGAAUGCCACGGUGAAUACGUUCCCGGGCCUUGUACACACCGCCCGUCACACCAUGGGAGUGGGUUGCAAAAGAAGUAGGUAGCUUAACCUUCGGGAGGGCGCUUACCACUUUGUGAUUCAUGACUGGGGUGAAGUCGUAACAAGGUAACCGUAGGGGAACCUGCGGUUGGAUCACCUCCUUACCUUAAAGAAGCGUACUUUGCAGUGCUCACACAGAUUGUCUGAUGAAAA
rnacentral:rRNA from 1 species